UGCGGGGUGGAGCAGUCUGGUAGCUCGUCGGGCUCAUAACCCGAAGGUCGUUGGUUCAAAUCCUUCCCCCGCUACCA
rnacentral:tRNA from 13 species